rnacentral:rRNA from 1 species
UACGUAGGUGGCAAGCGUUGUCCGGAUUUACUGGGCGUAAAGAGCGCGCAGGCGGUCGUUCAAGUCGCGUGUGAAAGCCCCCGGCUCAACUGGGGAGGGUCACGCGAUACUGAUCGACUCGAAGGCAGGAGAGGGUAGUGGAAUUCCCGGUGUAGUGGUGAAAUGCGCAGAUAUCCGGAGGAACACCGGUGGCGAAGGCGGCUUCCUGGACCGACACUGACGCUGAGGCGCGAAAGCUAGGGGAGCAAACGGG